AACUGCGAUGGCUCAUUAAAUCAGUUAUAAUUUAUUUGAUAGUACCUUACUACUUGGAUAACCGUGGUAAUUCUAGAGCUAAUACAUGCUAAAGCCUCCGACUUCUGGAAGGGGGUGUAUUUAUUAGAUAAAAAACCAAUAUCGGGCAACCGAUUCCCUUGGUGAUUCAUAAUAACUUUUCGAAUCGUACGACUUUACGUUGACGAUGAAUCAUUCAAAUUUCUGCCCUAUCAACUUUCGAUGGUAGGAUAGAGGCCUACCAUGGUGGUAACGGGUAACGGGGUGUUAGGGCACGACACCGGAGAGGGAGCCUGAGAAACGGCUACCACAUCCAAGGAUGGCAGCAGGCGCGCAAAUUACCCAAUCCCGACACGGGGAGGUAGUGACAAUAAAUAACAAUACGGGGUUCUUUAGGAUCUCGUAAUUGGAAUGAGUACAAUUUAAAUCUCUUAACGAGGAACAAUUGGAGGGCAAGUCUGGUGCCAGCAGCCGCGGUAAUUCCAGCUCCAAUAGCGUAUAUUAAAGUUGUUGCAGUUAAAAAGCUCGUAGUUGAAUUUCGGGGUUAGUAGGUUGGUCAUGCCUCUGGUAUGUACUGGUCUCACUGAUUCCUCCUUCCUGAUGAACCUUAAUGCCAUUUAUUUGGUGUUUUGGGGAAUUUGGACUGUUACUUUGAAAAAAUUAGAGUGUUUAAAGCAAGCUAACGCUUGAAUACAUUAGCAUGGAAUAAUGAAAUAGGACGUUCGAUCCUAUUUUGUUGGUUUCUAGGAUUGACGUAAUGAUUAAUAGGGAUAGUUGGGGGCAUUAGUAUUCAAUUGUCAGAGGUGAAAUUCUUGGAUUUAUUGAAGACUAACUACUGCGAAAGCAUUUGCCAAGGAUGUUUUCAUUAAUCAAGAACGAAAGUUAGGGGAUCGAAGACGAUCAGAUACCGUCGUAGUCUUAACCAUAAACUAUGCCGACUAGGGAUCGGAUGAUGUUAAUUUUUUAAUGACUCAUUCGGCGCCUUACGGGAAACCAAAGUGUUUGGGUUCCGGGGGGAGUAUGGUCGCAAGGCUGAAACUUAAAGGAAUUGACGGAAGGGCACCACCAGGGGUGGAGCCUGCGGCUUAAUUUGACUCAACACGGGGAAACUCACCAGGUCCAGACAUAGUAAGGAUUGACAGAUUGAGACCUCUUUCUUGAUUCUAUGGGUGGUGGUGCAUGGCCGUCUAGUUGGGGAGUGAUUGUCUGUUAAUCCGUUACGACGAACCUUACCUGCUAAUAGCUAGCCCACCUUG
rnacentral:rRNA from 1 species